rnacentral:RNase_P_RNA from 1 species
UGAGCAGGUUAGAUGGUCGCGAGCUUCGGCUCGAGGAAAGUCCGAGCUCCAUAGGGCAGGGUGCUGGGUAAUACCCAGUGAGGGUGACCUCAAGGAUAGUGCAACAGAGAUAUACCGCCAUUCAGAUGCCAGAAGUCGGAUGUGGGAAGUCAGAAUUAGUAUCAGUAUAUGAUAAUUGUCUAUCCAGUCUGACUUCUGACCUCCGGUUUCUGACAUCUGUUAUGGUAAGGGUGGAAAGGUGAGGUAAGAGCUCACCAGCGGAAUGGCGACUUUCCGGCUAUGUAAACCCCACCUGGAGCAAGACCAAAUAGAGGAGCAAUUGCGGUGGCCCGCCGCGCUCCCGGGUAAGGUCGCUAGAGGUGCCAGGCAACUGGCAUCCGAGAUAGAUGACCAUCCGCGACAGAACUCGGCUUACAGACCUGCUCGCUUC